rnacentral:rRNA from 1 species
UACGAAGGGGGCUAGCGUUGCUCGGAAUCACUGGGCGUAAAGCGCACGUAGGCGGCUUUCUAAGUCAGGGGUGAAAUCCUGGAGCUCAACUCCAGAACUGCCUUUGAUACUGGAGAGCUUGAGUCCGGGAGAGGUGAGUGGAACUCCGAGUGUAGAGGUGAAAUUCGUAGAUAUUCGGAAGAACACCAGUGGCGAAGGCGGCUCACUGGCCCGAUACCGACGCUGAGGCACGAAAGCGUGGGGAGCAAACAGG